rnacentral:rRNA from 1 species
CCUCGUCUUUUGUUGCCAGCACGUAAAGGUGGGGACUCAUAAGAGACUGCCGGGGUCAACUCGGAGGAAGGUGGGGAUGACGUCAAGUCAUCAUGCCCCUUAUGCCUAUGGGCUUCACGCAUGCUACAAUGGCCGGUACAAAGGGCUGCGAAAUCGCAAGAUGGAGCGAAUCCCAAAAAGCCGGUCUCAGUUCGGAUUGGGGUCUGCAACUCGACCCCAUGAAGUCGGAGUCGCUAGUAAUCGCAGAUCAGCAACGCUGCGGUGAAUACGUUCCCGGGCCUUGUACACACCGCCCGUCACGUCACGAAAGUUGGCAACACCCGAAGCCGGUGGCCCAUACCCUCUGUGAGGGAGCCGUCGAAGGUGGGGCGUAGCGAUUGGGACGAAGUCNUAACAAGGUAGCCGUACCGGAAG